ensembl:lncRNA
CGCACUCCAUCUCCAUCCUUAUCCCACCCCAUUCCACCCCCCCCCCCCCCCCACCCCACACACUGUGGGGCUGCUGAUGUCCCGCACUCUCAGCCCCACACGGUGCCGGGGGGCAGUGGGGCACAACGUGGGCACCGCUCCGUGUGGCCGUGGGGGGGUCCAUAGGGGGGUCCAUAAGGGGGGUCCCCACCUCAGUGUGGCUCUGGGGGGGUCCCCACAUUGGGUGCCCAUCAAAUGAUGCCGUGGGGGGUCCCCGUGUCGGGUACCCAUUUCGGGGUUGUUCUGGGGGGCUGUAGGGGGGUCCCCACAUCGGGUCCCCAUCCCAAAGUUGCUGUAGGGGGGUCCCCACGUUGGGUCCCCAUCUCAGUGUGGCUUUGGGGGGUCCCCACGUCGGGUCCCCAUCCCAAUGUUGCCAUAGGGGGGUCCCCAUGUUGGGUACCCAUCUCAGUGUGGCUUUGGGGGGUCCCCACGUCGGGUCCCCAUCCCAGUGUUGCCAUAGGGGGGUCCCCAUGUCGGGUACCCAUCUCAGUGUUGUUCUGGGGGGGCUGUAGGGGGGUCCCCAUGUUGGGUACCCACCCCAAUGUUGCCGUAGGGGGGUCCCCACGUCGGGUCCCCAUCUCAGUGUGGCUUUGGGGGGUCCCCAUGUCGGGUACCUAUUUUGGGGUUGUUCUGGGGGGCUGUAGGGGGGUCCCCAUGUUGGGUCCCCAUCUCAGUGUGGCUUUGGGGGGUCCCCACGUCGGGUCCCCAUCCCAGUGUUGCCAUAGGGGGGUCCCCAUGUCGGGUUCCCAUCUCAGUGUUGUUCUGGGGGGGCUGUAGGGGGGUCCCCAUGUUGGGUACCCACCCCAAAGUUGCUGUAGGGGGGUUCCCACGUUGGGUCCCCAUCUCAGUGUGGCUUUGGGGGGUCCCCAUGUCGGGUACCUAUUUUGGGGUUGUUCUGGGGGGGCUGUAGGGGGGUCCCCACGUUGGGUCCCCAUCCCGAUGUUGCUGUAAGGGGGUCCCCAUGUCGGGUACCCAUCUCAGUGCUGUUCUGGGGGGGGCUGGAGGGGGGUCCCCACAUCGGGUCCCCAUCUCAGUGUGGCUCUGGGGGGGGCUGUAGGGGGGUCCCCAUGUUGGGUACCCAUCUCAAUGUGGCUCUGGGGGUCCCCACGUCGGGCGCCCAUCAAAUGAUGCUGUGUGGGGUCCCCGCGUUGGAUCCCCCCCCUUUGGGCCCCCCGGGGGGGUCAGCAGGUCCCCAUUGCCCCCCUCUUCCCCCCCCACCCCUACGGGGGGGAUCCCCAGGUGACGCUCGGGGCGUUGGGGCAGCAGCGGCCCCAGAUGGGACCCCACCACCCCCCAUCCUUCCCCAUCCCCCCACAAUCCCCACAUCCCCGCUGUCCCCCUAUGUUCCCCCCUGACCUCUCCAUCCCCCCAUAACCCCCAUGACGCCUC